rnacentral:rRNA from 1 species
UACAGGGGGGGCAAGCGUUGUUCGGAAUUACUGGGCGUAAAGGGCUCGUAGGCGGCCAACUAAGUCCGACGUGAAAUCCCAAAGCUUAACUUUGGAACUGCGUCGGAUACUGGAUGGCUUGAAUUCGGGAGAGGGAUGCAGAAUUCCAGGUGUAGCGGUGAAAUGCGUAGAUAUCUGGAGGAAUACCGGUGGCGAAGGCGGCAUCCUGGACCGACAUUGACGCUGAUGAGCGAAAAGCUAGGGGAGCAAACGGGG